CCCACACACCUCCCUCACGACGACGACGACGACUUAAGGGCCAUGACGGAGGUUAUGAGGCCGAUGUAGAAGCUGAUGUCUUUUUGGAUGUACAUUUAAGUCAAAGCACCGGCACAGACCCCAGGGAGAGGGGGGGGGAGACGUAUAGAAAGGCGAUUAGUAUGAGUUAGGGCGAGGGGCUGGCCUCUCAUGCAUGGGGAAGCACGGGUGUUUUUUUCUUCUUCAAUUAAGCACCUGCUGUAUUUGAAGUAGAUGUGCAGUCAGCAACACAGAACUUGUCGAAGUUUGGAUGGCUUGUGGGAUUUGAGCUCUGAAAGGGGCACUUUAUUAUAUAUUAUCAAAAAUAUUUAUCACUCAAUUUAAAAAAACUAAUAUGUAUGUAUAUUUUUUAAUGUAUUUAUUGUGGUAUGAUAUUACACCGAUUUUUGAGGGCUGAUAGGAUCUGUAUUGUGAAUCUUUAGAUGUUGCGAUUUCUGUAAAAACUUUUUUCAGAUUUGUGGUUUUUACAUUGUGUUUGUAACGUCAAGGUUACGGUUUUACCGGCCCAUCUGUAUCCGCUAUUGUAUGAAAGUUUUCGAGCAGAAUGCUACAUAGUUUACUCUAAUGGACCAUCGGCUAACGCACUAUAGCGCCCUCUGUAGGACGCCACCAGUAAUGUAUCCGCCGAGAUUACAUUGACAAGAGGGAAAAGUUUAAGAUUUGAACUGAGGUGAACUGCAGUUUAAUGUGUGCUUCACCUCCAAGGGUAUGCGGCCAAGUGCUUCAUUAAACAAGGAUUGGAAGAGUUAUCCAAGCCCGCCGGACAAGACAUAGUAAAAUGAAUGUUGCCGGGGAUUGCUUGUUCAGACCGUGAGACGGGGGUAGAGGUUUCUGAGACACCCCCUCCGCGCACCAUCUGAAUAAAAAAAAAAGAUUAAAACAGGAUAAAAUCAGUUUUUUUUUCUCUGCUUUCGCUGCAAUGACGCAAUCGCCCGACAAUUAGGACACUGGUUGAAUGAUAAUGCAUUGGAUACGGGUGUUCCACUCCGUAGACUGACGGUUCUGGGUUCGGAUCCAUAAAUGCCACAUUCUCUCGCUCUCGCUCUCAGGAUAGUGAUGGCAAGGGGUGUCCAACUGCCAGCCAUAAGGGUAUGGGUUGAGAUCCCCCCACCCCUCCCUCAAUUUCGUUAUUAGCUAGGUUAUGGGUUCAGAUCCCAUCCCCCCAUGUCGUCGGCUGUUGGGUUAUGGGUUCACAUUCCCCCAAUGUUGUCAGAUGUAAGGUUAUAGGUUCAGAUCCCAUCCCCCCAGGUCGUCAGCUGUUGGGUUAUGGGUUCAGAUUCCCCCCCAUGUUGUCAGCCAUUAGGUUAUGGGUUCAGAUGGAUCAAUCCCAUGAGGUCAGCCAUUAGGUUAUGGGUUCAGAUCCCCCCCCCCCCCCCUUUUGUCACCGGUCAGGUUAUGGAUUCAGAUCCAUCCCCCAUAUUGUCAGCCUACCUGUUGGCAUCCUUGAGCAAGACGGCUGAGGCCUACCUGCCGUUUGAUGUGCGUCUGAGCUCACCUCAGUCUUUCUGGAUAAAAGGUUUUGCUCAUCGACUCCAUGGUAAGGGUUUCCUAGUAGGGCCUCUGCUCGGUUUCCCACUGGAUCGAUAUCAAGCACCACUUGAUACUCACUCAGUACACUUUCUUUUCAUAUCGCGCAAAAAAAUCUGGUUAGCGCUUUAACCCCAACAGGCGCAACUUCUCUUUCCUUCUCAAGUGGUGAGUGUGUUUUCUUUUUAUGAAACGACGAAGAGACUUUAAGUCCUUCAGAUUCUUAUUGGCUCAAAGCCGGUAUAAAAAAAAAAAACGCUGCAAAUCUCUGUGUACUACUACUUAAGUGCUAGCCUGUGUUUCUUGGAAACAAUUUUGCCGUCGUGGGGAAAUAUGUUGCUUGGCGGUAGAAUGAUCGGUUUUUCAAUGCAUGUUGUCAGACACUCAGAUAAAGGCGCAAAUAUAAAUUAAUUCUAUUUGUCUUUUCGAAGAAAGUAUGCACCUUUUGUCAAUUAGCGUCAUUUAAUUAAAUAACAUAUGAUUAGCAGUUGUAGUUGCACAUUGUCCUGCAAGUGGUUCAUUUCUCUAGCAUAGGUCUAGUGAAAUCUGAUUUAUGAAGGAAGCUGAGCUGCUUCAGUGUUUGAUAAAUGGCAGGGAGCUGUUCAAUAAAGAGGCGAGGGUGGGGGGGGGGGCAUAUAUCCUGCUGGCCCAAACGUUUGUGGGGAUUGUAUAUCAACGGGCUAAUAAUGCAUCGCGGGCCUGUUCAGCGAUGAAGGCCAGUUGUUUAUCUGAAUGUGUCCCAGAGUUCAUUAUCUGGCCUGAUCUUUCUUUUUUUGCGUCGUAAACAAGCAGGAAUGAAUUGACUGCGGGUUUAACUAUACAAGAAUGAUGUAGAAGAAUACAGUGUUGAUCAUUGAGCGGACGAAACAAAAGCUGAAAGAGACUGAGGAAGACAAAUCUGAUAGUAGGAGAGAGUGAAUCUCUGAGAUGGGGGAGGGAUGGGAGGGGAGGGUGGGGAGGGCAGGGGGAGUGGGCGUUACACAAGCAUGGAAGUCUAAUCUUUAAAUCCCCCCCGCCCUCCUCCUCCCUCCCUUCCUCCAGCCAUCUUCAGUUUAACCGAGGCCCAACCAGAAGGGAUUUAUCUUCCACUUGUGUUCUUUAAUCAAACACCGGACAUACCCCCUCCCACCACCGUGGGGCACUGUGGGGACGCUCCCGUUAACUUGAUAUCCUUGUGGACCAGUUGUCAAAGAGGAACCCCAACCUAAUACCACUUGGCUCGCAUUGGAAGACUCCCGCUAUAGGUUAAACGCAGGCUUAAUUGCUUGCAUAAGCCUCUGAUUGGUCGACCCGGCGAUUAAGCGUUAAUUGGACACACCUGUCCAAUCGAGCACUAAUUGAAGGUGGGUUGAAGGGGAGUUACAGGGGAGCCAGCAGUGCUGCAGGCCCAUGAUGAUCAGAACAUGAAGGCACUCUCUACAGGCCCGGUCUAGGGGCUUGGUUCUCCUAUAUUGAUGGACUUCACGUUCCCUAUCCUCUGCUUUGCUGUGCAGGUUCCACUUAAGGUCACCAAAGAGGUUGACAUUGUUAUUUAGUUAUUUAUUCGAUUUGGGGGGAAUUCAGCAUUGCAGAGAAGCAGACAAUGCAUUUUAUCAAGUCUUUCCCCAUCCAUGUAUUCAUAUACUAUACGACCACACAUUUUAAAUUGAAGACAGGAUUUAUAAUCAUGUUUAUCAUUGAUUACACAAAAAAAAAACUUGACGUGUCGCAGUUGUAAAACGCCUUGUUCACACACUGAGUUUUAAAACCUCUGCCAUGGAUCCGGUCUCCAUCUCUCAAACCAAGUCUGUGCUCUCGACCAUGGCCCGUCUCGAGUGGGUUACGACCCCACAACGCCAGCAGACAGGAGGAAGUAACUCCUGCAGUGCUACAACUGCUCUCCCUCGGUUCUGUGUUAGCAGUGACGCUGCGCUGCGUCGCUGAUCAGCUCGUGAUACAAGGCUCGCUGUGCGACGACAGGAUGCGUGUAGGAGUUGUCGGACUGCAGGUGUAAACCUGGGGGUGUGGGAGGGAUUUAAAUGUAUUUUCUGCGUUCCCGAGAUCAACACCGGCGGCGGAUUGUGAGCCGGCAUCAACUGAUUGAGACCGAGGUGCAUUGCAUUCUGGGAAUUUACAGAGUUGAUCUCUUUCUCUCUCUCUCUCUCGCUCUCUGAUGCUGUCGCUCGCCCCUUCCCUGCGAGAAUGAUGAGAGAUUAAGAGCACACAUGCUUUGGGUCCUGUGUGUCUGGAUAGAUUUCUGCCCCAGCGCAUGCAAACCGUACAAAUCCAUAUGUCGGCGCAAUCAAUAUGGAUUAGGCAAAGCUCAGGCCCGCAAAUUGAAGCUACACCACGUAUAGAUCGGGGUCUGACCAACUAGCAAAAAAAAACAACGAAAGUCCUCGUGGUCAAUACUGGAUCGGUUGUCGUUAAUGACCCCAACGGCUACGAUGUUAAUUUUCCGAAACGUUUUUAUUUUUUUAUGGGAUAUUUGAUCGGAAUUGUCCGAAAAACGCGCGACGCGGUUCCGUCCGAAGUGCGGCGAAAACACCCGAUCCGUAAACCCACGGCGACGAGAGCGACAAUCGGGAUUUGCCUUCGGCCUCGCACGUCGUGGGGGCCCCCGUCGAGAGCGCUCUUAAUUCGUCCCGCUGAUGAGGAUAAUUAGUUUGGCCCUGGGAUCAGGGGGGGGCCGGCAGGGAGAGCUCGGAUGAGAUGGCAAGAUUUAGAGGAUUUGGCCGAGCAGCGGAUACUAAGAAGAUUCCGGAUUAGUUUUCACCGCUACUGAUUAGAUGGAAAGGGUGGGGACGGGGGGGACAGGGGGGGGGGGGGAGAAGGAUAUAUGCA